ensembl:lncRNA
AACUCUAUUUGCUAUACACUUAAUAAAUGAUUAACAACCAUUCUAAAGAAGAAGCUUUGAAAUCUGCAGAAUGUAUUUGCAUUAUUGGCAAAAUCACUCUAAAUCAAGGUCCACUGCAGGGAGUCACCCUGGAAGGUCUAAAAUAUUUAUUCAAAGUCAGAACUGUUGGCUGGGAUUUGGCACGAGUCAUACAUCAUCACAAUUUGCAGUCUCUCCAGUUCUGUCUUCUUUCUCUGUCUGGUGGUGAUCUGCCAAAAAGCACAGCAGCUGCUGGCGUGACGUUGAGCUGUGACUCUGCGCUGCACUGGCCAAAUGACCAACAUGAUACUUUAGAAGGAACUGUAAAUACAGUUUGGAGAAGUCUGAUGUACAUGCCCUCUGGUCCUUUCCUGAUCUCUCUCAAAAUCACUUCGUAAAUCAACACACUGGGUAAAUCCUUUCAAUAGACCCAUCCCACUUGUGGUUGGCACUCUAUCCAGGGUGUCCCCUGCCUUGUGCCUCGAGUUCCCUGGGAUAGGCUCCAAGCUUCCUGCAACCCUGUGUAGGAUAAGGGGUAUGGAAAAUGGAUGGAUGGAUAUUUUUAAACUUUCAAAUGAUAUUUUAAUGUAAAACUAUUUACACAGACAUUGCAUAUUAACCCAUUUUGUUUACCAUUUCAGGGAGAACACUAACUCCAGGAUCUCAGCCUGUCUGUGAUGAUUUAUGAUUGUACAGGGGUGAAAUGUCUAUUCAAUCUUACUGCCCCUAGUGGGACAUAGUGUCUGUGUUUCUCUGACCAGCAAGUGAAAGUCUGGCUUACAGUAAUUCUCUCUCUCUCUCUCUCUCUCUCUCUCUCUCUCUCUCUCUGUCUCUCUGUGUGUGUGUGUGUGUGUGUGUGUGUGUGUGUGUGUGUGUGUGUGUGUGUGUGUGUUUAUUUGAGAGUCUGGCCAUAUGUUCUCUCUUCUCCAGGAGGCAAAUGGAUGUUAGAAUGGAGGUAAGGAUGGCCAUCCAUAAAGUCCUACAUACUGUAUGAGCUGAUCCAACCUGACCUUUUUAAUGAGCUCCAGAUGGCUGCAAAACCUCCAACAGAACCUGCAUCAGCUCUUACCUGGCCUGUAUGAUGUGUGUGUGUGUGUGUGUGUGUGUGUGUGUGUGUGUGUGUGUGUGUGUGUGUGUGUGUGUGUGUGUGUUUUCCUACAUGGGUGUAAACUGACUGAAUCCAGGCUGCAGGUGUAGUGUGUCAUGGCUAAGAUCUGUGUCCAGAGGGGGGAAAAAAACAAAGUUUCAAACAAAGUGCCCUUUGCCCUCACUCCACUCUGUGCCUCUCCCUGACUUGAUCAGUGAAACUUACCAUUAUAGCUGCACCUCCAACACUCUACUCUCUCUAAUCCAUUUCUCUAAACAUUUUAGCUCAUAUUCCUUCUGAUCUUAGCCCAUUUUCUGAGUCUUACUUAGCAGGAUUUCCUUGGUUAUGGGUAGCAUGAUCAGUAAUGUGAAAAGCAUGUGUGUAUGUAUGUGGAUAUAAUUUUAUACAUGAAGCUGCAGGUAUGUGUCAUCCACAUUUACUGCAGUGUAAAAGCAUGUCGAGAAACCCCGAGGAGAAUCUGCUGAUCAGUAGUGGUGAUGUAUUUUCUUCCUUUAAGGGAGUGAUAAAAACCCAGCUUCAUUGCAGAGAAACAUUGUUGGACAUUUUCUUUUUCCAGAAAACUAAAGCUACAUGGCUUUGAUUGACUAGCCUGAGAAGGAUUUCACAAUAUUUCUGUGUGAAGUAUACUCAAACAAAAAACCCACUGAAAACCUGAAAGGCGAACGCUUGUCAGUAUGAUGUUUUAGUGGUUUGACCCUUAAACUUUGUAGAUGGGAGUCUGAAUCCCCCACUGCUUAGUUUGCAGAGUUCGCUGUGGUCUGUCCCACUUUUAAGGUUAACCUUCAAGGUGUGAGGGAUUCCCAGCCACAUAUUUUUUUAAUUUAUCAGUACCACUCGCUCUGCUAAAGGGUGGUCUUUCACAUCGCCUUCGCUUGUGGGUUUGCGCGCCUACAUGUGGUGUGAUCAUUGUUUCGUUUCUUCACAGUCUUGCCCUCUAAUGCUGUCGUCCCUAUCACCAUCUUCCCCUCUUGAUCUUUCUCUACAAUAAAUGGUUUUCACAUUGUCUGGACUUUUUUUGGCUUUAAGACAGCAGAGGUCCUGAGUUGGUGGUUUUUAGGUGACAUUUUAUCUUCUGUUUGAUGGGAAUUCAGAUGUGUGAAGCCCCCCCCCCC